UGGGGAAUUUUGGACAAUGGGCGCAAGCCUGAUCCAGCCAUGCCGCGUGCGGGAAGAAGGCCUUCGGGUUGUAAACCGCUUUUGUCAGGGAAGAAACGCUCUGGGCUAAUACCCUGGGGUAAUGACGGUACCUGAAGAAUAAGCACCGGCUAACUACGUGCCAGCAGCCGCGGUAAUACGUAGGGUGCAAGCGUUAAUCGGAAUUACUGGGCGUAAAGCGUGCGCAGGCGGUUAUGCAAGACAGAUGUGAAAUCCCCGGGCUCAACCUGGGAAUUGCAUUUGAGACUGCACGGCUAGAGUGUGUCAGAGGGGGGUAGAAUUCCACGUGUAGCAGUGAAAUGCGUAGAUAUGUGGAGGAAUACCGAUGGCGAAGGCAGCCCCCUGGGAUAACACUGACGCUCAUGCACGAAAGCGUGGGGAGCAAACAGGAUUAGAUACCCGCGUAGUCCCUGAGCGGGCUGGCAAGGCGCAU
rnacentral:rRNA from 1 species